rnacentral:lncRNA from 1 species
UACUGAAGGCAAAAUAUAACUAAGACAUAUUUCCUUUUCUUGGACUUCUUGGGAUUUAUACAUUUCAAAAGCAAAAAAAAAACAACUAUCUGGUAAAGGAGUCAUAGACAUGAAGAUAUAUAUCAGAUGCUUCUUUAUGUACUAAGUACAGGUCACCCCAGGCGUUUCACAUGUUUCAAAUGUUUCUCAUUUGGUUGAUCAAAUGCUCGUGUUUAUUUCUUUACUGUUAAGGGAGCUUAGACAAUUGUUAAUGUAUUCAAGACUUGACUAUAAGGUUUAUAUGAUGAUAACUACACACAAUCAUAUUUUACAUCAUUUUUUCGUAGAAUUAUAUUUAAAUGUUUCAAAAUGAGCACAUCUGGAAGGAGCUUCAUAGAUUGCUAUUGAACAUUACUAUGAUCUCACUGUGCUUGGAAAUUUUAAUAGUAACUACAUAAACAUUGGCACUUACAGAUUCCCUCUUAGUAAGCAUAUUCAUUUAUAUACCACAGUUGUGAAUAUUUGAAAAGUAGGUUUAUGACCUAUUCUCUGCUUUCCUAUAUAAAAAGUGCUGUAAUUUUGUCACUGGAUGCAAAACACUGGCCGAGGUUGGCAGCAAAUACAGAGAGCCAGUGUUUUGGCAUAGAUAUCUGAUUUUCUGGCAAAACUCUUUUAGCAAUGUAAAAGCUGUUAUUGAGAGCAUAUUGUGAUGAUACAUCAUGUCAAUAUUUGUUUGGCUGAGUAACACUUGGAUUUAAUAAAUUCUUAAAUGCACA